rnacentral:lncRNA from 1 species
AUAUCUUUGCAAAAUUGCACACCUUUGCUCUGAACAAAGUAAGGAAAUCCCGGACUAGACACCAUUCUAAAAAACAGAACUUGAAACGCAUUUGCUAAAAUCUUUAACAACUAAAAUGUCCAUGUGAUGAGAUCCCAUGUGUCCUCUUCUAACGUUCUCUAGAUGAUUCAUUAUGGAGCACAUUUUUGAAAUAUAUGAAUAAAGAUGAACUUUACUUGGAAUGAGGUCAGGAUGCAUGCUGUGAAUAUCUGCUCUCCACAGAGAAAAACGUUCGCUUUGGGUGUGGGGACAGAGGGGGCCGGCUGUGAAAUUCCAGCAAAGGGGUGUGGACGCCCAGAGCGGGCGGGGCUGCUGUGCCGCCCCUGAGGCCCCGCGAGUGAGUGGCCUCAGUGUGUGUUACGUCCAGGCCCCUGCUCCUGCCUGCCCCUGGGCGUUCUCUGAGAGAACCAAUAUCCCAGAGAGACUGAGACGUUCUCAGAGCCAGCCAGUCUGCCCUGCGGGACGACACCAUUUUCCAGGCGCUGGUGCAAGUGUUUCCGUCCCGGGAAAUGCACAGGGCUCUCUCUGAGGAGCUUUCUGAUCACAACACGGCAAGCACCAGAGAAUUCAGUCUCCCCGGCGCUCCUGCGGGCCUUCUAGGACACCACAAUUACACACAACAAACAGAAACCCCUCACUUCUCAAGUGUUCAUAGACACUCUCUCCUCGAUUCUCUCCUCCUCCUCCUCCUCGUCCUUCCUCCUCCUCCUUCCUCCUCCUCCUCCUCCUCUUCCUCGUCCUUCCUUCUCCUCCUCCUUCCUCCUCCUCCUCUUCUUCUUCCUCUUCUUCCUCUUCCUCCUCUUCCUCCUCUUCUUCUUCUUCCUCUUCUUCCAUAAGCCCUGGGCUUAUGGCUGCAUCGCUCCCUCCUCUGCCUCUGUCUCCGUGUGGACUUCUCCUCUCUGUGUGUCUCGGAGUCAGACCACAGAGAUGAUGUUGUGAUGCCUGUCAUUGGAUUUAGGGCACACUCGGAUAAUCCAGGACACAGUCAUCUUAAAAUCCUCCACCGAAUUCUACCUGCAAAGGGCCUUUUUCUAGAGAAGUUCAUGCUCCCAGCUUCUGGAGGCUGCACAGAACGGGACCGAGGCUGAGAUGUCUUCAGUGUGUCUGGGCUGGAGGUGGAGGUCAGAUGAGAAACUGGGUAUUGGCAGAGUCCUGGGGAAGAGUCCUCCAUCAGGUUCAGAGGAGAAACAGUGACUUCAAGUGGGGGCCCCUGGCAGGCCCCAACCCAGACUGGGUUUACCAGCUUCCCCGUGGCCUGGGCAUCCUACGGAUGCACGCAGAGGGCACCACACACUCCUGCCAUGGCCUCUCCAACUGCAGGUGCUCCUGGCUCUGGCUCUGAGGAGACCUGCAUAAGAAAGGCCAGUUCUG